rnacentral:rRNA from 1 species
UACGAGGGGGGCAAGCGUUGUUCGGAAUUAUUGGGCGUAAAGAGCUCGUAGGCGGUUUGUCGCGUCUGCUGUGAAAACCCGAGGCUCAACCUCGGGCCUGCAGUGGGUACGGGCAGACUAGAGUGCGGUAGGGGAGAUUGGAAUUCCUAGUGUAGCGGUGGAAUGCGCAGAUAUCAGGAGGAACACCGAUGGCGAAGGCAGAUCUCUGGGCCGUAACUGACGCUGAGGAGCGAAAGCGUGGGGAGCGAACAGG